GGACUACCGGGGUUUCUAAUCCCGUUCGCUCCCCUGGCUUUCGCGCCUCAGCGUCAGAAAGGGUCCAGCACCUCGCCUUCGCCACCGGAGUUCCGGUCGAUAUCAACGCAUUUCACCGCUCCACCGACCGUUCCAGAUGCCCCUACCCUCCUCAAGAUGAGCAGUAUCCACGGCACUUCUCCAGUUAAGCUGGAGGCUUUCACCGCAGACUUGCACACCCGCCUACGCGCCCUUUAAGCCCAGUGAUUCCGAACAACGUUCGCACGGUUCGUCUUACCGCGGCUGCUGGCAC
rnacentral:rRNA from 3 species